UACGGGGGGGGGCAAGCGUUGUUCGGAAUUACUGGGCGUAAAGGGCUCGUAGGCGGCCAACUAAGUCAGACGUGAAAUCCCUCGGCUUAACCGGGGAACUGCAUCUGAUACUGGAUGGCUUGAGUUCGGGAGAGGGAGUGCGGAAUUCCUGGUGUAGCGGUGAAAUGCGCAGAUAUCAGGAGGAACACCGGUGGCGAAGGCGGGUCUCUGGGCCGUAACUGACGCUGAGGAGCGAAAGCAUGGGGGAGCGAACAGG
rnacentral:rRNA from 1 species